AUUAUCACUCACACUCCACUUCGCCUCCAUUCACCUUUAUUUUUUUGUUAGGUUCAGUUUUAAUCAUUUUGGAUUUAUUGGGUGUCAAAAUAAAGUUGAUUAGCAUUCUGGGUGUCAGCUGAAACCUACAUUGCAGAUCUUCAUUUGGGCUUUUUCAGUUUGAUUUUAACUUCUUGAUAGAAACCCUAAUCAAGAUCAUGAUUUAGCUAAUGCUUUCCGAAGUAUGAAAUAUGGGAUCCAACAGAACUAUCUAUUCAGAAUUCCAGGGUGCAGGAUCAAAGCUCGGCCUAGAAAUCUGGUGUGUAGAGAGCCUUCAGUUGGUUCCAGUCCCACAAUCUUCACAUGGAAAAUUCUUCUCGGGGAGUACAUACGUCGUUCUGCAUACUGCUUUGCUCAAGAGCGGUGCUCUUCAACAUGACAUACAUUAUUGGCUCGGGAAAGAUGCCAACGAGGUUGACUCAACUUUUGCAUCAGACAAAACGCUUGAAUUAGACGCAGCCUUAGGGUCUAAAUCUGUUCAAUAUAAAGAAGUUCAAGGUCAAGAAACCGGGAAGUUUUUGUCGUAUUUUAAACCGUGCAUAAUCCCGGUUGAAGGCGUAUAUUCUUCGGGGCAAGUAGGAUUAAAAGGCCCGGCUUAUGAAACCAAAUUGUUAACAUGCAAGGGUGAUCGAGUGGUUCAUGUUAAAGAAGUGCCAUUUUCACGGUCGUCUUUGAACCACCGAGAUGUAUUUAUACUUGACACGUCAUCAAAAAUAUUCCAAUUUAACGGGUGUAAUUCCAGCAUACAAGAAAGGGCUAAAGGUUUAGAGGUGGUUCAGUAUAUUAAAGAAUACAAGCACAAAGGGAACUGUGAAGUGGCAGCCAUAGAGGAUGGAAAAUUUGUCGGUGACGCUGAAGUUGGAGAAUUUUGGAACUUUUUUGGUGGUUAUGCUCCGAUUCCGAAAGAUCCACCCGUGGCUCAACCGCCUCAAACUUUAGAUGUCAAAUUAUUUUGGAUAACACUUCAAGGAAAAUUUACCCAAAGUGGAAGUGGUCAGUUGAAAAGGUCCAUGCUUGAAUCAAAUAAAUGCUACAUGUUGGAUGGAGAUGUUCAAAUAUUUGUAUGGAUGGGAAGUAUUACGUCUAUAACAGAACGAAAAACUUCUGUCUCAGCAGUAGAGGAUUUCCUUCGAGCUCAAGAAAAACCCGUAAAUACCCAGUUAGCCGUUUUGAAAGAAGGAUCAGAAACCGGCAUUUUCAAGUCAUAUUUUGACGACUGGCCGCUAACAGUGGAGCCCAAGCUUUAUGAAGAAGGCCGAGGCAAAGUAGCAGCAAUGUUCAAGCAAACCGGUUACGAUGUUGAUGAGCUUCCCGAUGAAGAUGAAAAACCGCAUAUCAUUUGCAAUGGUACACUAAAGGUUUGGAGAGUGAAUAAUGGUAAAUUAUCCCCUGUUCCUGUUGUGGAUCAAAGAAAACUUUAUAGUGGAGAUUGUUAUACUGUUCAGUAUAUAUAUUCCGCAAAUGGACGAGAGGAACGCCUGUUUUAUAUUUGGCUAGGAAAUAAAAGCUCUCCGGAAGACAGGGCUGAUGCAGUUUCGCUUACAAAUGUUAUUGUUAGUUCAAAUAAAGGAGAGCCUGUUUUGGCUCGAAUCGUUGAGAACAAAGAACCAAGUCAAUUCUUCAUGAUAUUUCAGACACUAAUCAUGUUUAAGGGUGGUAUGGGUUCAAGAUACAAAUCAUAUAUUGCUGAUAAAGGCCUUGAUGAUGAAACUUAUGACGAUAAAAAGACGGCCCUUUUCCGAAUUCAAGGAACAAAUCGUGAUAAUAUGCAGGCUGUUCAAGUUGAUCAAGUUUGUAGAUCUUUAAACUCUUCCUAUUGCUACAUUUUGAAGGCUGCGGGAUCUGUUUUCACUUGGCUUGGAAAUCUCUCCACUACCCGGGAUCAUGAUCUUCUUUACGGAAUGUUAGAUUUGAUAAAUCCAACAUGGCAACCGAUAUUAAUUAGAGAAGGUAGCGAACCCGAUGUUUUCUGGGAUGUACUUGGUGGAAAGACAGAAUAUCCAAAGGAAAGAGAAGUAAAACGAUUCAUUGAAGAUCCACAUUUGUUUGUUUGUACGUUCACAGAAGGUGCGGGUUCUCAAUCAAGUGAUCUCAAGGUAAAAGAGAUAUUCAGUUACACUCAGGACGAGUUAACUACGGAAGACGUGUUAAUACUCGACUGUCACACUGAAAUUUACGUGUGGGUAGGCCAUAAUUCAGUUGUCAAGUCAAAGCAACAGGCUCUUUUUAUUGGCUUGGCGUUCCUUGAAAAAGAUGUUUUGGGAGAAUGUUUAUCCGUAGAUACUCCUAUAUACGUUGUUACAGAAGGGCAUGAACCUCCGUUUUUCACUCGCUUUUUUGACUGGGAUGCUUCAAAGGCAAAUUAAAUCUUUUAAAGGUUGAUACGCAUUUGGACUUGUUUUGGUAGAUGCUAGGCAACUCAUUCGAGCGAAAGCUGGCUAUAUUAAAAGGGCAGACACAGAAACUUGAAGCGCCUUCAAGAAAUUCACCGAGUGUAACGCCAAACGGGAUGAGAAGACCGUCUCCUACUCCUAACGGGUCAAGAAGACCAUCUCCAGCUUCUAAUGGGUUGACCCGAAGACAGUCUCUUGAUUCCUACACGGUUAGAAGCACAUCUCCUACCUUUUCAGGGUUGGAUUUUAAUCCCACCAACAAUCGUCGGUUUUCGAGUCCUCCAAUUCACAGAAUGAUCCCUUCAGCAUCUUCAUCUUCCCCUGAUGUUCGCAGUGCAGAUAACACGCAUGUUUCCGCAAGUUCCACAGCAGAAGCGGAAAUCCUUCCAUCCAAAGAUUCUGGUCCUAAGCAGGAGUUGGUCAACUAUCCAUACGAUCGAGUAAAAGUCAACUCAAAAGAUCCAGUUCGUGAUGUAGACAUCACAAAGCGAGAGGCGUAUCUAUCUGACGAGGAGUUCCAAGAGAAAUUCGCCAUGUCAAAACGAGUUUUUUACCAGCUUCCCAGGUGGAAACAAAACAAGCUUAAGAUGUCCCUUUAUCUCUUCUAGAGCUUUAUCUUUGAUAUUGUUAACGGCUAUGUAUUAACGUUUUAUGAUCCGAUUUGUAGUUUGCUAUACGUGUUAGAAGUAUAAUUUCAGUUUAACUUGUAGCAUUGAGUUAUGUUGUGUUUAUUUGUCUUGAGGACAAACUUGUUGAUAGGAUGAAGGACUGGAUGUGCAUGAAUCUAAAAGCUCAAAGGCUUCAUAUGGAAA